GUUGCAGUGAUUGGAACGGAAGAAAACACAGACAUUUUUACAUGUUCCUAAGGUCUCAAGGGUUUGUAUCAUCCUGUGAUACACCAAAUCACUACACUGAUGCAGAUGCUCAAGGAUAUCCAGAUUCAGUCCUCUGAUGAAUUGAGUCGUACCACUGAGCAUACACAAACAAAUUCUUCUGUGUUUGACGGGGCAAUAGGAUAUGCACAUCCAACUCAUCCCCUUAUUUCUCCAUUGUCUCCUAAUAGCAAAGGGCUUCCCCUCAGACAGGGGAAGUGGAUUGUCCAUUCUAAAUGAAAACUACUGGAAGGUAAAUAUUGAUGGUUCUUUUUCUUGAAGUGGAAAUACUAAUUUUUGUUUAAUUGGUUAAUGCUUAAUUUCUGUUAGUAUAUAAAUCAGUUGCAAGUUCGGUGUCAAUUGCCGCUACAAUCACCCAGACAUAAAUGGUAUGUAUGGCAUUUAAUAAUUUUUCAUGUUUCUUAAACAAUCAUUUCACAUGUUUUUACUUCGGUGCAGCAAUUAAUCCAGCUAUGUCGGCAUUGGCCCCAUCUGUUUUGACAUCUUCACCUGCUGCUAAUCUUAACAUUGGACUUAUUAAUCUAGCUUUUUAUUAUGUAGCAUGACUUUAUAUUCAACUUAAUGGAUUUGAAUCAUGUUAUGUGAGACUUUUGUUGCAUUGCUUUGUUUGGCAGAGUAUUAGUUGCAGUAUGAUUUAGCAAGUAUGAUACAUCAACCUCUAUGGAUACCCGUGUAAUGUGGGAGCUCGGGCUGAAACAUGUUGCUUUGAUAACAGUUCAAUGGUUCGUGAAGCAAUGAAAAGGAUUUCCGAUCCAACCGAGGAGAUUAUUACUACAUGCCAUGAGUCGGACAAUAACUCGAGAAAUCGAAGACACUGAAUACGAAAUGGUUAAAAGACAAAUCGAAGAUCUUGAUGGAACUGUCAUGACAUAAGCAAAAUUUUCUUGAUGUUUCUGUUACUAUUCUAAGUUGGGUGUUUUUAUCCUUUAUGUUAUUUAAUAGACUUAAUAGA